rnacentral:rRNA from 1 species
AUUGAACGCUGGCGGCAUGCCUUACACAUGCAAGUCGAACGGCAGCACGGGUGCUUGCACCUGGUGGCGAGUGGCGAACGGGUGAGUAAUACAUCGGAACAUGUCCUGUUGUGGGGGAUAGCCCGGCGAAAGCCGGAUUAAUACCGCAUACGAUCUACGGAUGAAAGCGGGGGACCUUCGGGCCUCGCGCUAUAGGGUUGGCCGAUGGCUGAUUAGCUAGUUGGUGGGGUAAAGGCCUACCAAGGCGACGAUCAGUAGCUGGUCUGAGAGGACGACCAGCCACACUGGGACUGAGACACGGCCCAGACUCCUACGGGAGGCAGCAGUGGGGAAUUUUGGACAAUGGGCGAAAGCCUGAUCCAGCAAUGCCGCGUGUGUGAAGAAGGCCUUCGGGUUGUAAAGCACUUUUGUCCGGAAAGAAAUCCUUGGCUCUAAUACAGUCGGGGGAUGACGGUACCGGAAGAAUAAGCACCGGCUAACUACGUG